rnacentral:lncRNA from 1 species
CUUCGCUUCGGCGGCGGCUGCUGCGGGAGGUGGCGGCGCCGCGGCGGCGAGCGGAGCCCGGCAGUAGCCGCCAGCCCCGGGGUAUGCGGGUGAGCGGGAGAGGAACGCGGAGGAAGGCGGAGAGCGGCGGGGAGCGGGGCGAGGGAGCCCGGCCGAGCCCUCCCGAGCGGCGGAGGAUGCGCCGAGCCCCGGGGAGUCGAGCCCAGCUGCAGCGCGGCGCGUCCCGCCCGGCCGCCGCCCCAGCCCGCGCAGCUCCCUGUGCCCUGGAGCCAUGAGCUGCCCUCAGUGCCCGCAGAGCCGCCGGAGCAGCCUCCCAGCCACAGCCCCCCGGCACUCUUAGGCUUCCCUGCCCCCCUGGAAGGUGCUCAUCUCUGGCCAGGAGAACCAGCUGCACCUGCACCCUGCCUCUGCAUCCCUCCCAGGUUCCUUGCCUCACCAGCAGGUCCUUGUAGCGCUUCAGCUCUGGGCUGUGUGUCUGGGGCUGAGCCAGGUGCCCCCUGCUCGGUGCUGGGUCCCAUGAGCCGGGCAGAACCCCCCUGUCCCUCGUGCCCGGGGCUGCAGCGCCCGGCUGUGCCCCCCCAGAGGAGCUGCAGAGAGCUGCUGCCACGUGCAUGAGUGGAAAGCAGAGGAGAGGCCAAAGCCCAGUGCACACCUGGCAUCUGAUCCCCCAGCAUCCUGCCUUCAUCUGACCCAGGUAGGCACAUGUGAUGCUGACGUGCAAUUGUGGUGCUGAGUCCAGGGCUGGACUGGUUUCCAUUGCCAAAAUUGUGGUAAAAAUGCUUUUUCCUUCCCCUUUAGUCUGGGGUGGCUUCCCAUCCC